rnacentral:rRNA from 1 species
UACAGAGGUCUCAAGCGUUGUUCGGAUUCAUUGGGCGUAAAGGGUGCGUAGGUGGCGCCGUAAGUCAGGUGUGAAAUUUCGGAGCUUAACUCCGAAACUGCAUUUGAUACUGCGGUGCUUGAGGACUGGAGAGGAGACUGGAAUUCACGGUGUAGCAGUGAAAUGCGUAGAUAUCGUGAGGAAGACCAGUGGCGAAGGCGGGUCUCUGGGCAUCUCCUGACGCUGAGGCGCGAAAGCGUGGGGAGCAAACGGG